rnacentral:rRNA from 1 species
UACAGAGGGGGCAAGCGUUGUUCGGAAUUACUGGGCGUAAAGGGCGCGUAGGCGGCCGCCUAAGUCAGACGUGAAAUCCCUCGGCUCAACCGGGUAACUGCGUCUGAUACUGGGUGGCUUGAAUCCGGGAGAGGGAUGCGGAAUUCCAGGUGUAGCGGUGAAAUGCGUAGAUAUCUGGAGGAACACCGGUGGCGAAGGCGGCAUCCUGGACCGGCAUUGACGCUGAGGCGCGAAAGCCAGGGGAGCAAACGGG